rnacentral:rRNA from 1 species
GACGAACGCUGGCGGCGUGCCUAAUACAUGCAAGUUGAGCGCUGAAGGUUGGUACUUGUACCAACUGGAUGAGCAGCGCACGGGUGAGUAACGCGUGGGGAAUCUGCCUUUGAGCGGGGGACAACAUUUGGAAACGAAUGCUAAUACCGCAUAAAAACUUUAAACACAAGUUUUAAGUUUGAAAGAUGCAAUUGCAUCACUCAAAGAUGAUCCCGCGUUGUAUUAGCUAGUUGGUGAGGUAAAGGCUCACCAAGGCGAUGAUACAUAGCCGACCUGAGAGGGUGAUCGGCCACAUUGGGACGGAGACACGGCACAAACUGCUACGGGAGGCAGCAGUAGGGAAUCUUGGGCAAUGGACGAAAGUCAGACCGAGCAACGCCGCGUGAGUGAAGAAGGUUUUCGGAUCGUAAAACUCUGUUGGUAGAGAAGAACGUUGGUGAGAGUGGAAAGCUCAUCAAGUGACGGUAACUACCCAGAAAGGGACGGCUAACUACGUG